rnacentral:misc_RNA from 1 species
GAUGAAGAACGUAGCGAAAUGCGAUAAGUAAUGUGAAUUGCAGAAUUCAGUGAAUCAUCGAAUCUUUGAACGCACAUUGCGCCCGCCAGUAUUCUGGCGGGCAUGCCUGUUCGAGCGUCAUUACAACCCUCAGGCCCCCGGGCCUGGCGUUGGGGAUCGGCGGAAGCCCCCUGCGGGCACAACGCCGUCCCCCAAAUACAGUGGCGGUCCCGCCGCAGCUUCCAUUGCGUAGUAGCUAACACCUCGCAACUGGAGAGCGGCGCGGCCACGCCGUAAAACACCCAACUUCUGAAUGUUGACCUCGAAUCAGGUAGGAAUACCCGCUGAACUUAAGCAUAUCAAUAAUCGGAGGA